UCUGAGGCCCAGAUCAUUCUAAAGUUUUAAAGGUUGAGGUAAGAGGAGAAAACAUGUUUGUAUUACAGUUAUCAGCUUGGGUUAGACUUUCUAAACAUCAGACAAUAAUCUAUUUCUCUCUUCUCUGCCCCUAUUUUGACUUAGCAGUAGGCCUACAUAUGUGUCUUCUCCCAAUUACAAAGCUUCUCAAGAGUUGAAGAUUUGAAGUUUACUUACACAGGAAAUGCAUCAAAGGCUACAUGCAUCGGCAAUGGCUCAUUGUCGCUCAUACUUGAAGUUUUAAGGAUUCCCAUAAUAAAUUUCAACACCAUAAAGAAUAAUAAUAAGCAAAUGGGAUUAUGCAACAGAGCAACAGAGAGUAACAACAGAGCAAGAGAAAACUUAUGAAAUAAGAAAAAUAAUUUUGCAUCUAUUUUUCUACUACAAGACUAAUAUUUAGAUACAAAGAAGAAAAAACCCAACUCCCUCAAAAAUUGGAAAAUGAAAUGAAUGGAAGCUUCUCUAAACAAUGACCAAUUGUCAGCACUCUUACAAUGAACUUGAAGAGAAAGUUCUGCAAGCCAAAUGCAACAGUACACCAAUUUCAAAAUUAUAUUAGCUUGCACUGCUAUAACCCUCAAUGCCAGGUGCCAUUUUGAAGGAUGGAACCGCAAUUCUUAUACCUCACUAAAAAAGAAGAUAGGGUAUUCUGAUGCCACCUAAGACAAUCUGCAUUUCAUCACAGAAAAAUCACUGAUAACUUUCCUUCUGCCACUAAGCCUAACAUUCCAAGCUGACGAGGGACAGAAUUAGCAUCUGAAUCAGUUUUGAUCACGACUGUAAUGUCCCAAGAUUCUGAUGUGGAUUUUCCAAAAAUUAGUUAAUCAGCCUUGGAGUGUGUGGUCUUGGGUUAGAUUCUUCAAGUUAACUCAUUAUUCCUACGGAAUGGAUUAAGACGAACAUGAGCGUUUGUGUGACUUUAAACUGAGAUAAUCAGGUAAUUUAUAGAAAAGCUACUGUCUCACUUAAUGAGUCCUGGUCAUACCUCUGUUAAAACCAAGACUGUAAAAUCAGUUCUUAACGGUUUUCUUUAUUGGAGAAACUUUUUCUUUGGGUCUUUUGGACUCUUGCUUCAUUCUUACAUUCUCUAUUUUUAUCCAAGAUCACACAUCUAAUUAGUGGUUAAACUAGGAACAGAAACUGGGGUCUCCUUUUGAUCAGUUUCUCAUUCAAGCUGGCUGCAAGACUUAACAAGUUACUUGACAGAUAAACUCAUUUCUGAUUAAGUUUUAUAAUUUGAACAUGUUUCUUUUCUUACUGAAUGUUAGUUAAAUACUUUCUUAAUACUCUCAUUUUAUGAUUUUUAUGAUAAAAGUCUUAAGUUUUUUUAUACUGCAGAGUAAUUGCAAAUCUCAUUUUAUAUGAAAAAUGUAUUAAAAAAUAAGGCACUAACCUCUACAAAAGUUUUAAAUAAAAAUCACUCCUGACAUUCA